ACUCAAAUGAAUUGACGGGGGCCCGCACAAGCAGCGGAGCGUGUGGUUUAAUUCGAAGCAACACGCAACACCUUACCCAGACUUGACAUGCUGGUGCAGACCGGUGAAAGCCGGGGGCCUUCGAGGGUCCAGCACAGAUGCUGCAUGGCUGUCGUCAGCUCGUGUCGUGAGAUGUUGGGUUAAGUCCCGCAACGAGCGCAACCCUCGCGGUCAGUUACUUGUGUCUGACCGGACUGCCCUUCGGGGAGGAAGGCGGGGAUGACGUCAAGUCCGCAUGGCUCUGACGUCUGGGGCGACACACACGCUACAAUGACCGGCGCAAUGCGCAGCCACUCGGUAACGAGGCGCUAAUCGCCAAGGCCGGUCCCAGUGCAGAUCGGGGGCUGCAACUCGCCCCCGUGAAGGCGGAGUUGCUAGUAACCGCGUAUCAGCAAUGGCGCGGUGAAUACGUACCCGGGCCUUGCACACACCGCCCGU
rnacentral:rRNA from 1 species